CUAUUGAAAUUCUUCUUGUUUUCAUGUAGAUACUUCCAUUAAGGAGGUUAACAAUUUCUAUAAAUAGAGGUAGAUGUAGGGAGAGAGAAUGCAAGCAACUUGAGAGGAAUUAGAGAGUAGAGAGAAGAUUGGGAGUAGAGAGAAAAAAAUAUAUUAGUUUUUCCUAAGUAUUACCUCCUUGUAUUCUCAUAUUACAAGAGAGAUUAAUUGUUGUUAUCUUCUUGUAUUUAGAGAGUGUUGUAAUUCUCCUACUAUAGUGAAAUCCUCCUAUACUUGCCCGUGGACGUAGCCUAAAUUGGGUGAACCACGUAAAUACUUGUGUCCAUUUUCAGCUGCAGUUUCUCAAUUCCAUUUUGUUGUAAAGCCAAAGUCGACCCACGUUAUUUCUAAUAAAGAAGCUGUUACAGAUUAGGGACUCAAUCACACGUGUUGGAAAUGCUGUUUUUGUUGCUAAAAAUGUUCAUUCUUGUGCUGGAAAUGCUGAUUUUGGUGCUGGAAUUGCCUCUUUAUGUGUUGGAAAUGAUGUUCUUUGUCCAGGUAAUGCUGCUUUGGUACGGUCAUGUUGAUUUUAGUGCUGGGAAUGCAGAUCUUGGUGUUGGAAAUACUGAUUUUGUUGCUAAAAAUGCUGUAUCUUUUUCUCGAAAUGCUGAUAAUACUAAUUUUGUUGCUGUAAAUGCUGAUUCUGGUGUCUGAAAUGCUAUAUCUCUUGCUGGAAAUACUUAUUUUGUUGUUGGAAGUGCUGAAUCUUUUGUUGCAAGCUUGCUGACCAGCUGGGCUACUAAUGGCAGAUUCGAUGUCUCCCACACGUAUGAAUAUUUUGGGUCGAAGAGAGUAAAGGUUAUUUGGGCUAAAACAGUUUGGAACUCAUAUGUCACACCGAAGCAUGCAUUUAUUACAUGGUUAGCUAUCAACGACAAGCUAUUGACAAAGGAUAGACUAUACUUUCUAUAGAUUGACCAAAGGUGUAGCUUGUGUUCACAUGCGAAUGAGUCCUCUUUGCACCUAUUCUUUGCAUGCUCCUUCAGCAAGGUUGUUUGGGAUAAAAUUCGCAUAUGGGUAGGUCUUCGACAAUCUAUGUCUACACUUCAGAGAAAUGGAUUAAAAAGGAGGUUCGGGGGGACUACUUGGCACAGUAAGGUAAAAUGUAUUGCAUUUUUGACUACCAUCUAUCACAUUUGGAUGGGAAGAAAUAAGUUGAUUUUUGAGAACUUCAAUCGGAGUGUUGAUUGUCUUGUUUGAUGGAUCAAAACACACGCAUACAAAGUUAUGUUUUCUUUGUAUUCGAAUAUUUUGAGUCUCUUGUUUAUGAUCUUUAGGUCAUAUUUGAUAUUCUUUUGCCUAGAAAUGCCCAGAUGUAAAUGUUUAUCUAUGUUCAUUUGAUUUGCUUGGAAAUGUCCGGAUGUAUUUGUUUAUUUAUUUUGGAUGAUUUGCUCGGGUAUGUCCGGUAUACUUGUACAUGGUUUUGAUCAAU
rnacentral:lncRNA from 1 species